UCCGGCGGGCGGGCUCCGAAAGGAGAGCGUGGUGUCUGGAGGUGAUCGGAAGGGACUGGCUGGAGUGUGGCGGGCUGACAGGUCUGAGGCCUGAAGGACUUCCGGGAACCGCAAAGCACGGUGUGCCUCCGCUGUCCUGAAGAAAAAGCCGCGCGCGGACGACUGGCCGGCCCGCGCUUGCAGCUCCCAGAAGUUGACAGGCAUCCUCCGGUGACCGGUGUGAGUAUGGCAUCAGGAUGAUUUGACUGCAAGCAACAGAAAAAUCAAACAAAAAUGGCCUAAGCCAAGAAGAGAAAUGAUUAUUUCACAUUCCAAGAAGUUUGGGAGUCGAGUGGUUAAACGGCUAAUUAAUCUAGAGCUCAACAGUAUCACCCAGGACCCAUUUUCACUAUGGUGGCUAAAGCUCUGCACCCUUCAGGCUUGCACCAUGGCAGCAGCAGUGACAGUAAAGACACCCUUACACCACAAUGCUCCAUGACCAGGGAGAGGGUCUCCUCUCUCCUGCCCCUUUCUGGAGGCUCCACCGAAGAUUUCUCUUCACAUUCCGUUUCUCAUUCCUGAAGCAGUUGCUGGCAACAGGGAUGGACUUACCGCAAUGGGUACAGAGCAACUAAGAUUCACCACUAGGUGAGUCCUUUGGAAAACACUUGGCCAUCCAAUAUAUAAACAAAUCUGGUACUCCUGUCAGGAAAGAGGUAGGUAAUUCCCAACAGCCAAUAGUGUCUGCCACAAGUGAAAUAUCUCAUCAGAGAAAACUGAGUAGGUAAUACAUGAUUCUGUGUUUUCUCUGUUUUCUGCCUUUGCUUUUUCCAUUUGGUAAGACUCACCUGUGUUCCUCUUUGUGGCUCUUUCUCCUUGAUAAUACAACCCUGGUUUAGUUCAGAUACAGGUGGCAAUAGGCCAGAAUUUGUCCUAGGAGACAAAUUCGUGAUGAGCCUCGCAAAGUCAUGACAAUCCCAAUUCCAUUUGCCAGUGAACCAUUUAGGGAUGGCCACGUGACUCAGUUCUGGUCACCAAGGUGGUGGAAGAGAAGUUCUCUUGAGGGGCAUCUGGGAAAGAUUCUUCUGCCUGAUAAAACAGGAGCCUAUUCUUGAAUUUUUAUUCUUUCAUAUGCAUUUAAGAAUCAUCUUGUCAAGUUCUUCGAAAAACCCUACUGAAAUUUUUAUUGAAAUUGUAUUGAAUUUAUAUGUGAAUUUGGGAAAAAUUGUCUUUUUUUUUUUUUUGACGGAGUCUCGCUCUGUCACCCAGGCUGGAGUGCAGUGGUACAAUCUCAGCUCACGGCAAACUCGGCCUUCUAGAUUCACGCCAUUCUCCUGCCUCAGCCUCCCAAGUAGCUGGGACUACAGGCACCCACCACCUGGCCUGGCUAAUUUUUUUUGUAUUUUUAGUAGAGACGGGGUUUCACCAUGUUAGCCAGGAUGCUCUCGAUCUCCUGACGUCGUGAUCCGCCAGCCUCGGCCUCCCAAAGUGCUGGGAUUACAGGCGUGAGCCACAGCGCCCGGCCAAUUUCACAAAUAGAUUUUUUUUCUUACUGUAAAUCUUAGCAAGCUCAGCAUACGAAUUUUUUUUUCCUUAAAUUGAAAGCUUUUACCCUUUCACUUAAAGGCAGCACUUUAUGGCUUCUCUUGGGCAUAUCCAAAUUGCUACCAUCACUACUCGUAUUAGUCCAUUUUCACGCUGCUGAUAAAGACAUACCUGAGACUGAGAAAUUUACCAAAUAAAGAGGUGUACUGGACUUACAGUUCCACAUGGCUGGGGAGGCCUCACAAUCAUGGUGGAAGGCAAGAAGGAGCAAGUCAUGUCUUACAUGGAUGGCAGCUGGCAAAGAGAAAGCUUGUACAGGGAGACUCCCGUUUUGAAAACCAUCAGAUCUUGUGAGACUCAUUCACUAUUACAAGAACAGUGCAGGAAAGAUGCACCCCUGUACUUCAAUCACCUCCCAGCAGGUUCCUCCCACGACAUGUGGGAAUUGUGGGAGUUACAAUUCAAGAUGAGAUUUGGUUGGGGACACAGCCAAACCAUAUCACUACUCUUGUGCUUUGGGGCCAUUAUGAAGUAAAACAAGCAUUAUUUGAACACAAGAACUGCAAUACCACCACAGUAGAUCUGAUAACUGUUGGCUACUAAGUGACUAAGGGGCAGGUGAAGUAUACAGCUUGGAUGCGAUGGACAAAGAGGAAGAUCUACCUCCCAGCUGGGAUGGAGCAGGACGAUGCAAGAUUUCAUCACACUACUCAGAAAGGCAUGCAGUUUAAAGCUCGUAAAUUAUUUCAGGAAUUUUCCAUUUAAUAUUUUCAGGCUGUGGCUGACCGUGAGUAACAAACCCAGGAAAGCGAAACUGCAGAACAGUGGAUGGGAGAAAGGGUGAAUUACUGUAUAUUCAUGAGGGAUAUUAGUCCAUAGUUUCUUUUUUCCCUUUUAACAAAUUUUUGGGUUUUGUAUAUAGUUUGUCUGGUUUUGGUAUCAGGGUAAUACUAGCUUCAUAAAAUGAAUUGGAAAGCGUUUCUUCUGUUUUCCUAAAAAGAUUAUAUGGAAUUAGCAUUCAUUCUUUAAACACUUGGUAGAAAUCUUAAGUAAAACCAUCUGAGCUCGGAGAUUUUUUUGUGUGUGUUAUAAAAUUACAUAUUCAGUUUCCUUAAUAUUUAUAAGAUCAUUUUAAUUAUCUGUGUUUUUCAGUGAAACGGGUCAAUUUUCUGUAUGUUGUCAAAUUAAUAUUUGUAGAAUUGUAUUAGUAUUCUUCAUUAUCCUUUUGAUGUCUGCAGAAUCUGUAAUGGUAUCCCUGUUUUAUUUCUGAUAUUAAUUUGUGCCAUUAUGUCUUUUUUUCUUUGUUGAUCUUGUCAGAAGUUUGUCAAUUUUAUCAAUUUGUUCCAAGAACCAGCUCAUUGAUUUGGUUUCAGUUUCAUUGAUUUCUACUUUUAUCUUUAUUAUUUCCUUCUUUUUCUUGCUUUUGGUAUAUUUUGUGCUUCUUUUUCUAGGUUCUAGAGGUGGAAGCAUACGUUAUUGAUUUGAGACCUUUCCUCUUUUCUAAUGUGAGCAUUUUAGUUACAUUUAGUUCCCUCCUAGGACUACUUUAAUUGGAUUAUUGAGAGGUGUUGAAGUCUCCAACUGUAUUUGUGGAUUUAUUUAUUUUUCCUUUCAGUUCUAUUAGUUUUAGCUUCACAUUAUUUUGCAGCUCUGAUGUUUAAAGGUGCAUGAACAUUUAGGCUCACUAUGUCUCAGUGAAUUGACCCUUUUAUCAUUACGUAAUAUUCCUCUCAGUCUCUGGUCAUUUUCUUUGUGCUGAAAUAUACUUUAUCUGAUAAUAUAAUGACUGUUCCCUGUAGAUUAAUAUUUUCAGGAUGUAUCAUUUUUAUUUUUUUAUUUUCAACCUGCCUGUAAUCAUUAUAUUUGCAGUGAAUUUUUUCUAGACACUGUAUAGUUGAAUCAUUUAAAAAAGUCUGCUCUGGCAAUGUGUCUUUUAAUUGGUG
rnacentral:lncRNA from 1 species